UCAUCCUGAGGAGUUGAUGCCCACAGACGUGUAGAUCACAGAUGGGCAGGCUGAGCCCACGCCGCUUCAGCCCCCGCUCACCCCCCAUGCCUGUCUGCUUGGGGACCUUGCGUGUGUCCAGAGAACCAAGGUCCGCGUCUGCCGUGGGUUCUCUCUCAGCUACCUGGAGUGCUCCUUCCUGUCACCAGAGCCUAGACUUCAGAUUUUAUUUCAUUUUUCUGUGUGUUUUGAGUCCUUGCUAUGGGGAAAGUGUAUGCUUGAGGACUCUUUGUUCUGAGUAUCAAGGGACUUCUUUAAAUGUCAGCUGAGUUCGGGCUGUUGUGUCUCAUAAGCCUCCUCGGGGCUGAAGAUGUACUUUCUCCAAGUUUUCAUUAGCCGCAUCACUCAGUUACGCACAUCCAUCAUAUUUUGAGAGUAUUUUAUAGAAUAUUCUUACUACGGCGUGUGAAUGCAUAUUGACAAUUGUUGGCACUUUUAUAUAUUCCACGAUACACUUUUAUCUGUUAUGGAUCCAUAAUACCAAAUGUGUAGUAAAAAGCUAUAUCAAAAGGCAGUUAUCCCACGUGCAUAAAAUGCUCUGACUUAGUCUCUUUAAUUUUCUUACUGCAGCUUCUGAAACCCCCACUUCAUCCUGAUGGACUGCAGUAUUUCAUUUAAGAGAAGUGCAUGCCUGAGGGGGAGUGGAGUGACGGUGUUUCUAGGGCCAGCGGUGGCUCUAUUCCCAGGGAACUCCCCGUGCUGGGGCUAAGAGCAGGUCACGAGGCACUGCACAGCCCUGGCUGCCCCACCUCCAGCCACCUUCUGCUGGACAUGUGUCAUCCCGGGGGACAUGGGCUGGAGAGAAGGCAGACAGAAACUUCAGGGACCUGGGCUCUGCCAAGGAUCAGCAGCUGACAUUUAUGGUCAUAGCAGUCGGCAACGUCUGUGCUAAACUCUGGGUGGGUGUCACCAGGUGGACCUUGCCACCCUCAGGUGAGCCCCUCUGACAGAUGGAGAAAUGGAGGCUUGCAGCUGUGGGGAGCUCAUCGCUCAAAGGCCAGGCAGCUGAGUGCUGGGGUCAGGCUGCCUGUAUCCCACGUCUGGCUCUGCUGGUUCCUCUACCCUUCUGCAUGUGUUUGCAGUAAGUCUGGGCUUUAACUGACUGCUUGAUACCAUCCCGUCAUUUUGAGGAUUCAGCGAGAUGAUUAUCCUUGUACCAUCUCCGACACAUGGUUAGGGGAGUCUGAGAAACAUGCUACAAUUCAGAGCUCUGUGGUGCUGGACAUCUUGAGGCAUCUCCAGAAAGCCAACAAUAGUCUCAUCCUUAAGCCAGGAUCUUUGAUGGUUUAGAGAAGAGGGCUCUGGAGUUGGACCACUUGGUUUCAAAAGCUAGGUGCCCAUUCGGCUUCACCUGGGCACACCGCUGAUUGCUUUCACAUCUUGGUUGCUGCACCUGUGAAAUGAGAGGACCUACUCAUCCGGCUGUGUGAGGACUAUUAAAAGUGAUGACAAAGCCCAUGGAUGCCAUCCGUGAUCCCAGGCUUAAAACAAGGGCAAGGAGUAUCUGAUUAAAAUGCACCUGCUAGAAACAAAAACUCCUUUUUUUUUUUUAAGUGAUGCUUGGUCCUUCUUUCCCUUUCAGUUUAGUCAAGGAAUUCUAUAGUGUGAAUUUAGAAGGAAUUCUGUAGUGUGAGUAAAGAUAGUGGCUAAUUCUUAUGAGGAAUUUAUGGCCUGGGGUCAGUGUGGCUGCUCAGAACAGUCUGACUGAGGAAGGGUGGAAGAACAUGUCUCUCAGGUGGGAAGGGAGAUCCAUUUGCAUGUAGUCUAAAUCCCUCCAGAACAGAAUCUACAGUAUCUUCUCACAGUGAACCAACCAGCUGACCGGUUUGGGGAACAGGUAGAGACGAUCAGGAUCCCUCUGUGUUAAGAGUGGAGACCACUUCUUCCUCCCUGGUGGCCCAGCCUCCUACAGACACAUCUGAAAGAGACAGACUGCAUCUGGUCCAAUUGUCCCAGAAGGUCUGUGGCUGGGAUGAGCCGGCCCCUGUCCGUGUCUCAGGCCACAUGUAAAAGGCAUAUCUUGACAAUAAAAAUCUUCUUGUCACCGAGACAUUCCUCAACUGUUAGCAAUCAAUUUGGAGGUAGGGGGGUGUGGGGUGGGAAAUACCAAAGGACAUCAAAGAGGGUCGCACUCCCAGACUCUGCUCUGUUUCAAGGCUCCCGUAAUUUGGGAAGGUUGUAUGCUAAAUAAUUUGUGAGCCUCCAAACACGCAGGUUAUUGUUUGUGGACAGAUGGUGUAUCGCGUUUUAUCGCUUUUCCUUCUGUGGGUCCUCAUAUGUGGGACUGAUGUGCAUUCUGAAGUCUUUGUCUCCUUGCUAAAAUCUCUAAUCUAAAACAGGCAAUCAAGCACAGAGGCAGGGCUUCAGAAGGCAUAAUCAGAGUUUUAAAAGCAAAGGGGAGGGGGGAACACCAGAAAUCCAAGUGCAGUUAUGAGGCAGAUGUGUUUGCAGAGAAUGCGAGAGGUUAUUAGGGUAUUAGAAGUGGACAAAUGAAAGGGACUCCACUGCGCACAGGGAGAAGGCAGAGGGAGAGCCCGGCUGAGGCGACAGGCACCGGGGCGCGCCCAGCGGGGCUGAGCCCCCACCUUCCCCGGGAGCUGGAGCUGGGGCAACGGGGGUCUUUGUCUCCGCAGGCGGCCGUGUUGGGGCCUGGGAGGCCCCAUCUUGGAGCUGCGGCCGCCCUUAAGAGUUAAAUCAUGUUGAUCUACAGGAAGGAAAUGAAAUAGACGAACUCGCUCCUCUUUUCUUCCUACGGAUUUUUCUUUUUUAUUCUGAAGAUAGAAUUACUGUUUGUAAGCAUCUGAAAGUCAUUAGAGGCCCUGCAGUCUGUCAGGUGCCGACGCAAGAAACUGCUGAAACCGAACGGGAGCCUGCACCGAGGGCUGGGAAUUUGUCAUGUGCUGAUGAGCAGUUAUAAUAAUAUAUGAGCAAAUCACAAGCAUUCUGCAAAUUAAUCAAAUUUUUUUCCCCUUCUCCCUUGUCUCUGGGAGAGUGGCUUUGCAGGCAGACGUAGGUGAAGCAGUUUUACUCACAGAUGGUCGCUCUGGCAUCAGAUGGAAUUUAUAUAACAGUAAUUCUGAUUUCCUGCCAAAGUAGCAGUGAACACACCAGGGAGAUUGUAGAAGGCGAGUCAUGUGGUUUUGCUGAGGUUGUUGUGGGAAGUUGAAGGGGGGAAAUCUCA